rnacentral:tRNA from 1 species
GCGGCGGACAAAACCGCCUGAAACCGCCUGGAAAUUUCAAGAAGUGUAUAAUUGGACAACCGACUCGAAAUCAGUUUGCGGGCAACCGCACGAGGGUUCGAAUCCCUCCCGCUGCGCCA